rnacentral:rRNA from 1 species
UACGAAGGGGGCUAGCGUUGCUCGGAAUCACUGGGCGUAAAGGGUGCGUAGGCGGGUCUUUAAGUCAGAGGUGAAAUCCUGGAGCUCAACUCCAGAACUGCCUUUGAUAUGAGAGUAUGUGAGUUCGGGAGAGGUGAGUGGAACUGCGAGUGUAGAGGUGAAAUUCGUAGAUAUUCGCAAGAACACCAGUGGCGAAGGCGGCUCACUGGCCCGAUACUGACGCUGAGGCACGAAAGCGUGGGGAGCAAACAGG